UACGAAGGGUGCAAGCGUUACUCGGAAUUACUGGGCGUAAAGGGCUCGUAGGCGGCCAACUAAGUCAUACGUGAAAUCCCUCGGCUUAACCGGGGAACUGCGUCUGAUACUGGAUGGCUUGAGUUCGGGAGAGGGAUGCGGAAUUCCAGGUGUAGCGGUGAAAUGCGUAGAUAUCUGGAGGAACACCGGUGGCGAAGGCGGCAUCCUGGACCGAUACUGACGCUGAGGAGCGAAAGCCAGGGGAGCAAACGGGG
rnacentral:rRNA from 1 species